UGGGUAACCUGCCUCAAAGAGGGGAAUAGCCUCCCGAAAGGGAGAUUAAUACCGCAUAAUAUGUUUAAGUCGCAUGACUUUAACAUCAAAGGAUUUUUCUUUUAGAAAAUUCCACUUUGAGAUGGACCCCGCGGCGCAUUAGCUAGUUGGUGAGGUAACGGCUCACCAAGGCAACGAUGCGUAGCCCGACCUGAGGAGGGUGAUCGGCCACAUUGGAACUGAGACACGGUCCAGACUCCGUAGG
rnacentral:rRNA from 1 species